AGGAGGAACAUGGUCAAAAUGGAAGCAUGUCAAUCUAACAGCUGAAGCAGCUUACUCAAGAUGCAGAAUCAAGAAUCUGUUAAAAAAACUUCUAUGAACGCAAUGCAGAGCAUCACUUUGGAGUAAGAGGAGAUGGCAGAGCAGAACUGAGACAGAGGCCUCCUUGCCUCAGCUUCUACUUGUCUGUGGACCUGGGAUCUGGCCUGGAGGAGUGAGAUGCAAGUGACCAGUUCUGCUUCCAGGCCCGCAGUCCUAAGAGCUCUGCCAGGAGCCACAAACCAUGGAUGCCCCAGGGAGGGUGAGGUGGCCUGUCUGACGUUUGGCUAAGAUUUACAGAGGACUGUUUGCCCGGGGGCUUGAAGGAUGAACAGAAGUGUGUCUUGGAAAUGCCUCUGUGAGGGCAGGACUUCGGCAGUGACACUCUGCCAGGGCAGUGGCACAGAUCAUGCCUCCGGAACCGUGGGACGGCUAGAGCGAUUUGAACAGAGACACCAAAAUUAACUGCCCACGGGGAAGCCAGUGAACAACUAUUGAACACUCACUACUUGAUGGAUCCUGGACCAAGUGCUUGAGGAUACAAUGAUCAGCACAACUCUUAAGUCAGGGAGAAUCUUCCAUGGAUUCAUACAAGGACAUACACAAGGGCAUUUAUCAAGACACACUGAUAGCAAAGAGUUAGAGGUAAUUUAGGUGGCCUCCACUAAAAAAGUAAAAUGUGGUGAAAUAUCAUGGAAUACCGGUAAGAACCAAUGAAACCAGAUUUAUAAAUAGCAACAGAGACACUGAAUGAAAAUGUAAGAGAUAAGUGGAGAUGUGUAACAUAAUUCUUUUUAUGUGAAUUCAACAUGUACAUACAUGCAUAUAACAACACCAUCUACUUUUCAAAGAUAUGCUUGUAUUUAUGGACAUACAUAAUGUGAGAAAGGGGAGUGGAGUGGGAAUUGGGGGCUUGGAGGUAAAGGGGAAGAUAAAACAAUCAAGGAGCCUACACAGUCUAAUAGGUAUCAUGAGCUCGGAGCUCUUUUCUCCUAAGGUUCAAAAGGUAAAAAUUUUAAAGUGCCAUGAUGAAGCUUCCCUGGUGGCUCAGGUGGUAAAGAAUC